UACGUAGGGGGCAAGCGUUGUCCGGAUUUAUUGGGCGUAAAGAGCGUGUAGGCGGCCCGGUAAGUCCGCUGUGAAAGUCAAAGGCUCAACCUUUGAAUGUCAGCGGAUACUGCCGGGCUAGAGUCCGGAAGAGGCGAGUGGAACUCCUGGUGUAGCGGUGGAAUGCGCAGAUAUCAGGAAGAACACCAACGGCGAAGGCAGCUCGCUGGGACGGUACUGACGCUGAGACGCGAAAGCGUGGGGAGCGAACAGG
rnacentral:rRNA from 1 species